GACCGGCUGCCAAGGCCCCACUUUUAACUAAAAGAGGCGCUGCCAGGUGCACAAUUCUGGGCAUGAUCCAUUUGAGCUUCGGGGGAAAGCCCAGCACUGGUCCCAGGGAAGGUGCCUAGAAGGACACGGAGCGGACCCCUUUGGGCUCUGCUUCCUCCCCUGAGAUGUGGAGUGAAUGCUGAGCAUGGAGCGGAGGGAGCUCAAGUUACCACUUUCUCCAGCCACCCUGGUACCUUCAGCCCUGAAGUACAGAGCAGAAGGGUCUUAGAAGACAGGACCACAGCUGUGAGUCUCCCCUGUGACCUUAGACAAUCUCUAAGCUCAGCUGAGGCUUGUGUGCCAAUGUGGAGAAGUGAGCCAUUGACCUUG
rnacentral:lncRNA from 1 species